CUUGGCAGUUAUACAAGGCUGAGAGAGGACAGAAAUGUGUCUGCCUUGCACAGGAGCCCACUUUCUGUGGAUCAUGAAAGAUACUUAGUCUAAAAGCGAAUUUUACUCUCAGACACCAAGUCCAGAUCAGCCAGUUGUGGGGCCACUAGUAUCAACUCCAUAUUGCAACUUCCCACAAAGCCAAAGACCAUAAGCAACCCAGUGGAUUUUAAUGCGGUUGAUUCUGUGGAAUAGUCUUUGAGAAGCAUUGCAUUUGCACAAGGAGAAAAUAAAACAAAAAUAUUUUUUCACUGGAAAGCAUUAAAUAGCACUGUACUUUAUAUAUCUUACCUCAUUCGAAGAUCAUAACCACCAUAUGAGGAAAAUAGUAUUAUUGUCAUCAUUUUCCAAGCAAGGAGACAAAAGCACAGAAAAGUUGAGAAAAUCAUCAUCUUUACAUCUUGCAGACAGCAGAACCAGUACUUAAACCCACACGGCAUUGCUCUGGAGCCCACACCCUUAGCCACCACGCCUAAGGACUCGAGUCUAACUAAUAUCAACACUGCUGCCAUUACUGCCUGCAAACUAAUUAUCUUCAUAUUUGUGUUGUUUGCUUCACUAAAUAUGUCCUCUGUGAUGGAGAAGAUUCUAUAAUGGAAAAAAAAAAAAAGAAAACAAUGGAAGAUAAAUGUAAAAAGGGAAUUUGUCUAUUGAAAUUUCUAACAGCUAAUAUCAGUACAGGCUGUCGGUUAUUACACAUUUUUCAAAAGUGAGGAUUUAAAAUCAAUUCCCGGGAGUUGUUUCUAGACAAUGAGGUCCACGGAGACAACAACUGAGCUACAUCCUUCUUGUCUACUGCUAUUUCCAAAGGGCCAGACGCAGUGCCUGUGAAAGCAGACUUUGCUUUAAUUAAAACCACCAUCGCACGCUAAGACAUUCUGCAUGGGAACAUCUCCAACGGUGGCACCUUUAUGGAACCUUUGUCUGAUAAUUUCAGUCCCCAUGAACUGUGCAUUCCAAGGAUACAGUACAGCUGUCACUGAGGACAUUAAAUUUGGGGCAUUCACACCAGCUGCAGUGACAGACUGCAACCAAAAGCUGCAGGCACCAUCCCUGCCAGGAGCCAGACGUCUGCAUAUUAUCUCUGUGGCCUAAGGAUGGUCAGAUGGUCAUUUAAACGACCAGCUUUUAAUGCGUCUUACUCACUACUUUGGGGUUUGCUGUGAGAAGAAGGUAUUGGAACAUAUUAGUGUGUUGAUAGGGAUUAUUCUGAAACCUGUCAAGUGACUCUACUCUGUGACAUUUGAUAAGGAGAAUGAAUAUAAAAUGUGAAGCCCUGGAACUCUUGGGAGGAAAAAAACUCGUGUUUACAUCUCAUAAAGAAGUUGUACAUAGCCACAGAGGAGAGUUUUAUUAGCAGCCGUGCCUGCCAGAUUGCUUACCUCUGCAUCAAAGUGUUCAAUAUAUAGUUGCCAAAUGAAUAAAUGCAAAAAGAAGCAGGACACUGAAAAGCCAAAGGUAAGAGCAUGUUGAGGUUGCAGAGGUGGGAGACAGCAAGCAGUAAUUCAGCGUAACUCCACCUGCAUGAAUCUCUGAAUGUUACAGACAGACGGGACACAAACAAACACUGUGGAUUCUAUUUGAAUAUUAAAAGAAAGACUGACCUCUUUCUUUUAGAGGGCUUAGGGAAACACGGAAUGUAUGUUUUUCUUUGUCCUAGACCUGGAGCCUUUUUAGCCAUCCAAGUCUUGUGCAAUCUUAUCCAA